rnacentral:lncRNA from 1 species
UGGGAGGAGCAUGGAGAAGCCAAAUAUGUAGGAAAGGCAUCCUCUUCUUAACUCAGACUGCUGAGUCCCUAAUUACCAGCUGCAGACCACCAAUAAGGGUGGAGCACCAUGCCUGGACAUAGUGGCCAUGCUUUUAUAUUUGGACUGGACAAAAGGGAUCUUGAUAAGAGUUUAGCCUUGGAAGGACUCCUACAGAGAGCAUCUAUGACCCCCAAAGACAGAUUUCAGGCCUACUAAAAGUCUCUUUCUCAUGAGACACUUACCCAUUGAUCAAAUGACUUCUCAUUCAUGGUGUUAUCAGUCCUGUUACAAUGUUGUUUAACCUGUAACAUGGAUAUAAUAUCUGCCCUGCCUUCAUUUUAGGAUUCUAGGGAAGUGCUUGGAAGAGCACCAAGUGCAAUGCAACUAUAGGGUUAUUAAUAAUGUUGCUAUUAUACAUUUUGAUUGAUGAGAUUUUGACAAUGGGAAGGCCCCUCUCUCCCCACUCUGGCCACAGGACCUGUUCCUAAAAGUACAUCUCAGUCCACACUCCAAAGACAUUUCUUGGAAACGCUUCUCAUUGUGGUUCAUUCUAUAAAAAAGGUGCUCCGGCUCCAAGUGGGCAUGAAAGUUCAUCACAACAUUUGCCAUCAAUAAAAACCCAAUUCUUUCCAUGUGAAAAGCAUUACUGCUGUCAAAUGGUUAUUGAGUGAUGAUACCUGAAUAAUGGGAAUACAGGAACCGGAAAAUAUACAAAGGGAAACCUCACUGGGAUGCCAAAUUGUAAAGACAGAAAUGCGAAUAUCUGAGGGAAAUUAGUUAAGCAGAGCACAGCACACAUGCCUUCACCAAGGAGGGAAGAUGAGCAGGCAGGAUGGGUGGAAGGUAGGGAGAAGAAGUGCUGGGUUGAGCAUGGCUUUAUCCACUUCCUGGUGGGCCUGGG